GACUGUUGUUGUGAUUUGGCGCUGUAUAAAUAAAAUUAAAUUGAAUUAUAUCAUUACAAGUGAACUUGUGCUGGUUUGCCUUUGCUAUUUUUAAAAGCUGUAAUUCAACUCAGGUUCUAGCCCCUGAAACCCUAUCUACCUGUUAUAUGGGAAAGCAGGUUACACCUUGACACCUUGUACAGGUUACCAGUCUAUCAUAGAGCACCAAGUUUACUGCAGGAUCUAGUUUUAGAUUCCCCGAUGAUUCACUGUUGUACAUUUUAAAAAUGUAAAAUUUUAUUUCAUAGAUAAAUAAUUUUGUACUAGUUAGUGACAAUAUUGAGUGGUGUUUUUCUUAAACAUGCCAAAACAAUAAAACACCAUGAAAACACUUCACUACACAUAAACUGGUAUUACUGUCAAAUUCUACAUAAAGUAUUAAAAGUAAACACAAUUAUUCCACAGAAAACUGCCCCCCAUCUCUGAUAUAUGGAUCAGUUUAACUACUGCAGAUGUAAUUAAAUGCAGGCUAAAAACACAUAGUGUCACUGUUCUGGGUCAUUUUGACCCAGCAUUUUCAGUUCCUUAUGUUUUGGUAUUCUUCUGUACUAUGAUUUAGGUUCUGAUUCUUUAUUGUGCUGUUUUGAUUAUUAUUAUUAUUGUUAUAGGUUUGGUUCAGUGUCAAGUUUGCGUCUUGGUGAUGUGUCUCUUGUUUCCUGUUUUAUGUCUUCUGUGCAGUGAGUAUAGGCUGUGUCCGAAUUCAGGGGAAGGAUGCUUAAAAUGCCAUAUUUGGAGGCAAUGACGUCACAGCGACGCGACGAGGGCUGUCCGAAUUCAAAGAGUACUCAAAAUGUGGCGACAAAUGCGUCCUACCUUGCUCUGAAUUCUAAGGAUGGUCCGAUGUAUCCUUCAUGUCCUACUAUAUCCCAGGAUUCAUUGCGGGUCAUAGAGGAGAUUUGUUUCUGAUAACGAUGGUGGUCUCAUAUACUUACACUUUCAAAUGACAAUUCUGGAGAGGAUGGGCCUGCAGGAGAAAGUCACCCCCUUGCAGGCCAGAAGACAUGAGAUAACUUUAAAGAAUACAAAGAUUGCAAGUAUCCAGGCUCAGGAGAGGGGGU